CGCCCCCCCACCGUUCCACUCCGGUCCUUCGCGGGUCGGGAGUCGGUUCGAGUGAAAGUGGCCGUCCCGUUCGGACGCGUGGGUUCGUCCCCAAGUCGGAUCGGGUCGGCUGAAAUGGAAGGAAUCGGGCCGCCGUGGCGACACAGUCCGCGAUCGGGUGAUGCUCCGGUCACCGCUCCCUCGGGAGAGUGCCGGAGUUUUUUCUAAGUGCGUGUCUGCGUCUCCCAGUUGGUCCGGGUUCCCCUGUUGCAGGUCGAGCGCGCCCCCGCGGCGCGCGUCACGC
rnacentral:misc_RNA from 1 species